rnacentral:rRNA from 1 species
ACGGGAGGCAGCAGUGGGGAAUAUUGCACAAUGGGGGAAACCCUGAUGCAGCAACGCCGCGUGAGCGAUGAAGGCCUUUGGGUCGUAAAGCUCUGUCCUUGGGGAAGAAGAUCUGACGGUACCCUUGGAGGAAGCCCCGGCUAACUACGUGCCAGCAGCCGCGGUAAUACGUAGGGGGCAAGCGUUAUCCGGAAUUAUUGGGCGUAAAGGGUGCGUAGGCGGCGAUUUAAGCGCAGGGUUUAAGGCUACAGCUUAACUGUAGUUCGCCCUGCGAACUGGAUUGCUUGAGUGCAGGAGAGGAAAGCGGAAUUCCUAGUGUAGCGGUGAAAUGCGUAGAUAUUAGGAGGAACACCAGUGGCGAAGGCGGCUUUCUGGACUGUAACUGACGCUGAGGCACGAAAGCGUGGGGAGCAAACAGGAUUAGAUACCCUGGUA